GACGAACGCUGGCGGCGUGCCUAAUACAUGCAAGUAGAACGCACAGUUUAUACCGUAGCUUGCUACACCAUAGACUGUUAGUUGCGAACGGGUGAGUAACGCGUAGGUAACCUGCCUGGUAGCGGGGGAUAACUAUUGGAAACGAUAGCUAAUACCGCAUAAUAUUGAUUAUUGCAUGAUAAUUGAUUGAAAGAUGCUAUUGCAUCACUACCAGAUGUACCUGCGUUGUAUUAGCUAUUAGGUGAGGUAACGGCUCACCUAGGCGACGAUACAUAUCCGACCAGAGAGGGGGAUCGGCCAAACUGGGACUGAGACACGGCCCAGACUCCUACGGGAGGCAGAAGGAGGGAAUCUUCGGCAAAGGAAGAAAGUCUGAACGAGGAACGACGCGUGAGUGAAGAAUGUUUUCGGAUCGUAAAGCUCUGUUGUAAGAGAAGAACGGGAGGGAGAGUGGAAAGUUCACACUGUGACGGUAUCUUACCAGAAAGGGACGGCUAACUACGUG
rnacentral:rRNA from 1 species